CCCCUCUCAGGAUCGCACCUGGAGAGUUUCCAGUCCUCUACCGGUUUUGGCUACAGGAGGAAGAGUCAAGAAGAGGCUACCCAUUCCAUUCCUAGCUUGGGCAGUGGCUAGGGAGUUAAAGGCAAUCUGCUACAAGU